GAUGAACGCUGGCGGCGUGCUUAACACAUGCAAGUCGAACGGAAAGGCCCAAGCUUGCUUGGGUACUCGAGUGGCGAACGGGUGAGUAACACGUGGGUGAUCUGCCCUGCACUUCGGGAUAAGCCUGGGAAACUGGGUCUAAUACUGGAUAGGACCACUUCUUGGAUGGUGUGGUGGAAAGUUUUUUCGGUGUGGGAUGAGCUCGCGGCCUAUCAGCUUGUUGGUGGGGUAAUGGCCUACCAAGGCGUCGACGGGUAGCCGGCCUGAGAGGGUGUACGGCCACAUUGGGACAGAGAGACGGCCCAGACUCAUACGGGAGGCAGCAGUGGGGAAUAUUGCACAAUGGGCGCAAGCCUGAUGCAGGGACGCCGCGUGGGGGAUGACGGCCUUCGGGGUGUAAACUCCUUUCGCUAGGGACGAAGCGUUUUUGUGACGGUACCUGGUGAAGAAGCACCGGCUAACUACGUG
rnacentral:rRNA from 1 species